rfam:Ictidomys tridecemlineatus contig150463, whole genome shotgun sequence.
UAGAUUGAAACCAGUUGAGUAAGGCGUUUAGCUGUUAACUAAGAUAUUAUGGAUUUGAAUCCCAUCAGUCUAG